AUGAACGCUAGCUACAGGCUUAACACAUGCAAGUCGAGGGGCAUCAGUUUGGUUUGCUUGCAAACCAAAGCUGGCGACCGGCGCACGGGUGAGUAACACGUAUCCAACCUGCCUCAUACUCGGGGAUAGCCUUUCGAAAGAAAGAUUAAUAUCCGAUAGCAUAUAUUUCCCGCAUGGGUUUUAUAUUAAAGAAAUUCGGUAUGAGAUGGGGAUGCGUUCCAUUAGUUUGUUGGCGGGGUAACGGCCCACCAAGACUACGAUGGAUAGGGGUUCUGAGAGGAAGGUCCCCCACAUUGGAACUGAGACACGGUCCAAACUCCUACGGGAGGCAGCAGUGAGGAAUAUUGGUCAAUGGACGCGAGUCUGAACCAGCCGAGUAGCGUGAAGGAUGACUGCCCUAUGGGUUGUAAACUUCUUUUAUAUGGGAAUAAAGUGGUCCACGUGUGGAUUUUUGUAUGUACCAUAUGAAUAAGGAUCGGCUAACUCCGUGCCAGCAGCCGCGGUAAUACGGAGGAUCCGAGCGUUAUCCGGAUUUAUUGGGUUUAAAGGGAGCGUAGGCGGAUUGUUAAGUCAGUUGUGAAAGUUUGCGGCUCAACCGUAAAAUUGCAGUUGAUACUGGCAGUCUUGAGUGCAGUAGAGGUGGGCGGAAUUCGUGGUGUAGCGGUGAAAUGCUUAGAUAUCACGAAGAACUCCGAUUGCGAAGGCAGCUCACUGGAGUGUAACUGACGCUGAUGCUCGAAAGUGUGGGUAUCAAACAGGAUUAGAUACCCUGGUAGUCCACACAGUAAACGAUGAAUACUCGCUGUUUGCGAUAUACAGUAAGCGGCCAAGCGAAAGCAUUAAGUAUUCCACCUGGGGAGUACGCCGGCAACGGUGAAACUCAAAGGAAUUGACGGGGGCCCGCACAAGCGGUGGAGUAUGUGGUUUAAUUCGAAGCAACGCGAAGAACCUUACCAAGUCUUGACAUCCUGCGACGGACAUAGAAAUAUGUUUUUCCUUCGGGACGCAGAGACAGGUGGUGCAUGGUUGUCGUCAGCUCGUGCCGUGAGGUGUCGGCUUAAGUGCCAUAACGAGCGCAACCCUUAUCUUCAGUUACUAACAGGUCAUGCUGAGGACUCUGGAGAGACUGCCGUCGUAAGAUGUGAGGAAGGUGGGGAUGACGUCAAAUCAGCACGGCCCUUACGUCCGGGGCUACACACGUGUUACAAUGGGGGGUACAGAAGGCCGCUACCUGGUGACAGGAUGCCAAUCCCAGAAACCUCUCUCAGUUCGGAUCGAAGUCUGCAACCCGACUUCGUGAAGCUGGAUUCGCUAGUAAUCGCGCAUCAGCCAUGGCGCGGUGAAUACGUUCCCGGGCCUUGUACACACCGCCCGUCAAGCCAUGAAAGCCGGGGGUACCUGAAGUACGUAACCGCAAGGAGCGUCCUAGGGUAAAACUGGUAAUUGGGGCU
rnacentral:rRNA from 1 species